GGGAUGUGAUGAGUGGUCAAAGCUCGUAUUUAAACAUGCGAGAGGGAUGCCCGGCCCAAAGCCCGGUUACAACAACCCGACACUCCCUUUUUUUUUCACCAAUUUGAUCCC